UACGUAGGGGGCGAGCGUUGUCCGGAUUUACUGGGCGUAAAGCGCGUGUAGGCGGUCGGCCAAGUCCGGGGUGAAAGGCGGGGGCUCAACCCCCGAACUGCGCUGGAAACUGGUCGACUUGAGUGUCGGAGAGGGGAGUGGAAUUCUCGGUGUAGCGGUGAAAUGCGUAGAGAUCGAGAGGAACACCCGUGGCGAAGGCGGCUCCCUGGCCGAACACUGACGCUGAGACGCGAAAGCGCGGGGAGCGAACGGG
rnacentral:rRNA from 1 species